rnacentral:rRNA from 1 species
UACGUAGGGAGCAAGCGUUGUCCGGAAUCAUUGGGCGUAAAGCGCGCGUAGGCGGCCUCAUAAGUCCGUUGUGAAAGUCAAAGGCUCAACCUUUGAAAGCCGAUGGAUACUGUGAGGCUAGAGUUCGGAAGAGGCGAGUGGAAUUCCUGGUGCAGCGGUGGAAUGCGCAGAUAUCAGGAGGAACACCAAUAGCGAAGGCAGCUCGCUGGGACGAUACUGACGCUAAGGCGCGAAAGCGUGGGGAGCGAACAGG